CGGAAAGUUUGCUCCUGGGAGCCCGGAAGGCGCGGCGCGUAGGUGCCCAGAGCCCCCGCCCUACCCAUGGUGAGGCAGUGGAAUCUCCGCGGGUCCCCCACGUUGUAGGUGGUGGCGGCGCAGACAGAUAAGGAAACAGGCUCAGAGAGGCUACGCAAAUUGUCCAAGGCACAGAGCUUCCAAGGGGCAGAGGAAAGAUUCAAACCGAGGAUUUCUCAUCCUAAGACCCUGCUCUUCUUUCCACCCCAGCCCACAGCGUCCUGUGCUGUGUCGCCUGGACCACAGCGACUGAGCGGGCGAACCCCGGCUGCGCGUCUGGGGGCCAGUGCGAAGUCGGUCCUCACUCAACCCCGAACCCCAAACGCAGGUGAAGUCGAGGGAGGCCGCUCCCUAGAUGGAGAUAAAUAGAUUGUGAGAGGAUGCGAGGCGCUCCCAGCGCGUCCGCCGCUCCCGGCGCUUUCGCUGCGGGAGCUGGAGACCCACACCGUACCCUCUCUGGGGUCUCGACUCUCUGGGUCCCGGUCUCUCCUUCUCCCUAAUUUAUUUCUCAUUGGAAAACGAAGCGACUCUAAGGGAUCGUACUGAAGCCACAGCCCGAGAACACCGCGACCGGCAACGGCCCCCAACCACCUGGCAUCCACGCUCCGCGCUGCGUCCUCGCCGCGACAGUGGAAACUUACCCACAGAAACAAAAGGAAUCUUUCUUCGAUCUUCACUGUGUCUCAGCCUUUCAAGAGCCACUUGAGCUCGAGUAAGUUAUUUAACCUGUUUCCUCUGAAAUUUAUAGAAUGGAAAUAAUAUCCCAGUUUUUUUCAUUGGAGUGUUGUGAGGGUGAGAGGAGACAAAAAUGAAAAUGUUUUGUGAAAUGUUUAGCACUAUGUAAACACUGAUAUAAAUAUUGUUUUUCCUUGUAGAUGGGCUUAUCUCUUUGCCUCACUUUUACCCUAUUUUUCUGAAUAAAGACUGCAUUCUUUUACAUGUUCAUAUCUGAAUGUCUUCCCAUGGUGCAAUUAACUACAACAAUAAAGAUGAUAGCAAGAGUUCUGAGGAAAUUCACUUACAACUAUUUUGUGCCUCCAGGUAUAAGUUAUUCUCAUGGCAGUAGGGUGCAUUUCAUUUUCUGAACCCCCAAAUACCUCAUAGCUCAUUACAUCUUCUAAGGACACAAUUGAUACCUUUAAAUACACCACGCACAGAGUUAUUAGUUGAUCUCCCAAAGCCUAAAAUUGUUCAUGCAUCUUCUUAAGUGCUUAAUGUCACUAGGAGCAACACAAUACCUUGAAUAUUGAAGCCCUAAAGUUAAUUUGAGAGGAUUCUACCUUCAAAAUUUAGUUUUAUAUAAAAGUAACUCACAUUUUAAGAAGAGGUUGA